AUCGUUCUCGGCCUUCCGGCUAAGUUCAAGUGUAGUAUCUGUUCUUAUCGGUCUAAUAUCUGAUACAUGGUCCAUUGGAUCACACGAUAUUAAAUUUAUUUCUUGUGGGGUAUGGCCCACCAGUCACAUAUGGGGCCCUCAAGCGUUGCCCGUGCAUUGCACUACUACACGGGCCUGGCACGCACCCCUU